AGCUCCAAGAAGAUGACACAGCUCAAAAUAAAAAUUAGCAAUCAGUACAACCAAGUCAUCGUUAUAAGGCAUCGCCCUCUUUUGCCCACCCCCCAGCACCAGGUGUGGCCACUAGCCUAUAUGAAGGCCCAAAAUUGUGUGUUCCUUUCUGCUCUGACAAUGGCAUGCCCAUUCGUGCGAGAUGUGGUGGAUGAAGAAGCACUUGUGCUGAGGAGAGCCUUCAGGCGAGAAAGGGUCUUCAGGGACCGGUUGGACCCACUGGCCUUCCCUGAUGACCAUCUAUAUGAAAGAUACAGGUUUUCUGCAGAUGGCAUCAGGUAUCUAUGCAGACUACUGGGUCCCAGGAUUAAGCACCGCACUGCACGGAGCCAUGCACUGAGUGUGGAGCAAAUGGUUUGUGUGGCCUUGCGCUUUUUUGCUAGUGGAGCCUUCCUGUACUCAGUGGGGGAUGCAGAACAGCUGAACAAGGCCACAAUUUGCCGCACAAUAAGGAGUGUGUGUCUGGCUAUCAAAGCAUUAGCAGAUGUCUUCAUCUCCUUCCCUGGCCACAGAAGACUCUGUGACAUCAAAGAGGAGUUCUAUAGGAUUGCAGAUGGUCUGCAAUGCUGACUGUGUGAUCAGCAAUGUUGUGGCAAAAUGGCCUGGCUCAGUCCAUGACUCCAGAAUCUUUCG